GCCCCUGUGGUGGAAUUGGUAGACGCGGUAGACUCAAAAUCUACUGCCGCGAGGCGUGCUGGUUCGAGUCCGGCCAGGGGCACCA
rnacentral:tRNA from 1 species